rnacentral:rRNA from 1 species
GACGAACGCUGGCGGCGUGCUUAACACAUGCAAGUCGAACGGAAAGGCCCUGCUUUUGUGGGGUGCUCGAGUGGCGAACGGGUGAGUAACACUUGAGUAACCUGCCCUUGACUUUGGGAUAACUUCAUGAAACUGGGGCUAAUACCGGCUAGGAGCUCCUGCUGCAUGGUGGGGGUUGGAAAGUUUCGGCGGUUGGGGAUGGACUCGCGGCUUAUCAGCUUGUUGGUGGGGUAGUGGCUUACCAAGGCUUUGACGGGUAGCCGGCCUGAGAGGGUGACCGGCCACAUUGGGACUGAGAUACGGCCCAGACUCCUACGGGAGGCAGCAGUGGGGAAUAUUGCACAAUGGGCGGAAGACUGAUGCAGCAACGCCGCGUGCGGGAUGACGGCCUUCGGGUUGUAAACCGCUUUCGCCUGUGACGAAGCGUGAGUGACGGUAAUGGGUAAAGAAGCACCGGCUAACUACGU